UGCCCGUCGUACAGGUUGACUUUUCUCAACGAAUAUACGUUUCGAAACGACAUAGAGUAAAUACUUAAUACGAAACAACAAAGGUAUUGGUCAUUGUCAACAUAAAUUGUGAUUUACGUAUUGCUGCUACGGAUUAACGUGCUUACAUGAAGUAAUAAAUGCAAUCAAAGACCCAAAAUACAGUUAGAAUUUACUGAGGUCGUAGUGAAUAUCAGGACAGAAACUUAUACAGUGGUAAAGAUGUAGAAGAUGGAUGACCAAAACAGAGAGAGAAUUCUAGGACAGAAAAGAUGUAGAUGUUGGAUAACCAUCCUGGAACAGAACCGUAGGACAAGAAAGAUGUAGAUGAUGGGUGACCAAGCUGGGACAGAAUGCCAAGACAGGAAAGAUGUAGAAAUGAGUGGACCAGGAAGCAAAGAAUCAUUACACCAAGAUAUUGCCAUAUAGUUGUGGAAAACUGAAGAAUCCUCCCCCCUGGCUCCUCUCUUUCAGGCACUACCUAUCAAAUAUAAUUCAAGCUGAGGAGACAAAAGACUGUGGUGACGGAAGCUAGAGGGUUUUAGUUCUCCACUAAGAAUAGGUGUGCUCGGUUGUCUUGGACACUCCUAAUGUCCCCUGUGACAGGUCAGCCAGCAGCGACAAACUCAUUAGUAUCGGGGUGGACACCCACCUUCCAGGCAACGAGAACAGCAGCUCAUCAUCGACGAUGUUUUCUUUUUCUAUUGUGGUGGGCAUCCGCAUACUAUAAGCGCAGCCAAUACACUAGCAGCACCACGUGUCGACGUCACGGGCACAGAGAAGACAUCACCUAUUGGCUGGAGACGCUGUGGCUCUGCUGUUACCACAACAGAAACAUUACAUCAUUGUGAGGCUACAUCAGUACAGUCAGAAAUGUUUACCUGGCAUUUAAAACUGAUUUUUGUUUACAAUAAACAAAUUAUUUGAGCAACAUAAGAAUACUCAUUGAGAGUAACGUAUCAUUGUUUAAUAGUUCGCGUAACAACCUUCACUGAGAUCAGUUUAGGGCAUCUGUUUUAGCUUUGUACUAGAGCGUUAGUUACACGACGAUACAUGCAUUGGCCUAUUCACUUUCAUUCAGCAUCUUGUUCCAUCAGAAAUUUAACAGCAUUCUUGAAGGCGUUCACUGCCAACCACUUAGCCUAUCUGUAGCAGUGUAUGUUAUGCGUCAUCAACCUCACAAUUUCUUUAUGGCGGAACUCUCAAUACAGACAAAGUUUCCAGAGCUUCAUGUUUUCGAAGCCAUCUUCAGAGUAUAACAGUCCUAGAUCGAGAGAUAAUGCCUGAGAAAAGAAACUUAUAAUAGAGAAGAAUUUAUCUGUGGUCGUCACAGACACAGCUACAAACUAAUAAUCCUGACUUUUUUCCCAUGGAAAUCUUAACACUUAAACAUCCCUCUUGACAUAUUCUGCCUGAGAAAGGCCACACCAGUUAAGUUACCACACUGUAUUCAUUCGCUUCAUCACAGAUAUUUCACAUGAAAAGUCAAAAUAAAAAGGAAAUCAUUUCAUGCUUGGCAGAGCGAGUGCACCAGCAUACAUCAUUGGUUCAGUAAAUGACGUGUCACAGUCACAUGACUGGCCAUCGGUCCCUAUCAGCCGACUUCCACAAUUGGUGGCCAGAGUCUGGUGUGACAUAGGCAAACUCUAGAGCACAAUGUUUUGAGCUGGACCACAGCCAACAGCUCUUUCACACAACAUUUUUUGAUCUUUUUCUAUUGCUGAAAGUCAGAAAGUGAAACACAUUAUUUUUACUCUUCCAUUGUAGCAAAAUGAUACCUUUAGCUUUUAGGGGAAUGUAAAUACAUGUCAGGUAUUGCACAUCACAUAGUAGAUAUCCACUGCUGUACCAAAACACUAUUUCUGGGAAGUUGAAUCUUCCCCCAAGUGGUGAGAGGUGGUAAUAGCUAAUGCAUCCUGGAACAUUGUCUAACAUGAUUGUUUUCAUGGUGCAGGUGUUAAUGGUGGGCAAAGGCAUAAUGUUAUUGCGACAUUAUACUUGUUCCCCACGUUUGUCUUUCCAAAGGUGCAUUCGGCACUGGCUUCUUUUUUAUUCAUAUAUAUUACUUCUCAAGUCAACAUCCCUUUUCUUCAAGACAUGCUAAUCGUACACAGAUGACUGAGGCAUCAUUAGAAAAUUUUUAAUCGUUUCUCAUACUGCAUACCGGUUUUGUGCUAAGACUUACUAUUUGUCGAAAAUUUUGAACUAUCGUAGGCAAAAGGGCAUCAUAGAUGUCCGGCAUCAUACCUGUAGUUUGUGAAGCUAACCUCUUACUCACGAACAAGAAACUCACUUUUCAUUUUAUCUUAUUACAAAUUACAUCUUAUUAACUGGAUAAUUUGUAUACAUCAGUGUCAUAGACUAUGACGGUGACCACUGCAGUAGUCCAUUAUCUCUGCCUGUUGUACAGGUUGACAUUCCUAUACGAAUAUGUCUUUCGAAAUGACAAAAAUAUUAGCCCCUGCCAACAUAAAUUAUGAUUUACGUAUUGCUGCUAUGGCCUAACGUGCUUACAUGAAGUACGAAAUGCAAUCAGAAUCCUGAAAUACAGUUAGAAUUUAUUGAGGUCUUAGUGAAUACCAGGUAAGAAGCGAAUUAAAAUUGCAUUUGCUGUCACUAUAAGCAAGUUACGGGGACAAAGUUUCAAAUCGUAUUUACCAUAUCCAUUCUUUACUUACAGGCAGUCGCAUGUAACCAUUUCAGGACAAACUAAAUCAACAACAUUUUCGUAUCCCUUAAGGAAAAUGAAAAAUAAAAAGUUCAUGAAGCUCAAAU